rnacentral:rRNA from 1 species
UACCGCAUACGAUCUAUGGAUGAAAGCAGGGGAUCUUCGGGCCUUGUGCUCCUGGAGCGGCCGAUAUCUGAUUAGCUAGUUGGUGAGGUAAAGGCUCACCAGGGCGACGAUCAGUAGCUGGUCUGAGAGGACGACCAGCCACACUGGAACUGAGACACGGUCCAUACUCCUACGGCAGGCAGCAGUGGGGAAUUUUGGACAAUGGGCGCAAGCCUGAUCCAGCAAUGCCGCGUGAGUGAA